rnacentral:rRNA from 1 species
GACGAACGCUGGCGGCGUGCCUAAUACAUGCAAGUCGAACGCAGUGGGGACGGGUGAGUAACACGUGGGUAACCUCCCAUCAGAGGGGAUAACACUUGGAAACAGGUGCUAAACCGCAACUCAUUGAUGGACCCGCGGUGCAUUAGCUAGUGGGUGAGGUAACGGCUCACCAAGGCCACGAUGCAUAGCCGCACUGAGAGGGUGAGCGGCCACACUGGGACUGAGCCACGGCCCAGACUCCUACGGGAGGCAGCAGUGGGGAAUCUUCGGCAAGGGACGAAAGUCUGACCGAGCAACGCCGCGUGAGUGAAGAAGGUUUUCGGAUCGUAAAACUCUGUUGUUAGAGAAGCGGUAACUAAAGAGAAAGCCACGGCUAACUACGUGCCAGCAGCCGCGGUAAUUG